AUUUAAUGUAUAAAGAGAAAUAGAGAAUUGUAUUAUUGAUUGAUUUAUGUUGUAUAUUACACAUGGUGAGUAUGUUCUUUAUAUAGGAGAUGUAGUAGGUGAAGUGGGUGGAGUAGGUGUAGUAGGUGGUGGAGUAGGUGAAGUGGGUGGAGUAGGUGUAAUGGAGUAGGUGAAGUGGGUGAAGUAGGUGGUAGGUUUUAACAGAAGCAGAGUUCAGAGCUGUUGCCCAUGGAAUUGUGAAGUAAUGUGGAUUAAAAGAAUUCUUGAAGAAUUAAAGCUUUCUCACCCGACACCUAUGAAGGUCUAUUGUGACAACAAAGCAGCUAUAUCUAUAGCUCAUAAUCCAGUUCUACAUGAUCGCACAAAACAUAUAGAAGUGGAUAAACAUUUCAUCAAGGAGAAAAUCAAUGUUGGCAUAAUCUGUAUGACCUACCUUCCAACAGGUGAACAAUUAGCUGAUGUGCUUACGAAGGGACUACACAAGAAGCAAUUUGAUAAGCUGACUAGCAAGCUGGCUAUGGAAGAUAUCUUCAAACCAGCUUGAGGGGGAGUGCUGGAAAUUUGUGUUAAUGCAUAUAAUAAGAUAGUGGCAUAUGAUAGUGGUGUUGGUGGUAGAUAGUGGCAUGUAUAGAAUAUAAUACAGUUAUGUUAGAGAUUGUUUUGUGCUUUGAGUUGGGGGAUAGCUUAGAACAUGAUUUGAAAACCAUAGGAUGUGCCUAUGCCUUAAGUGAGGAGCUUAAAGACCUUAGUCUAAUGAACUUGACCAUUUUAUGCUAUUUGUUAAUUUGCUAAUUAGGAUCAGUGCUAAUUAAGUAGGAUUAGUGAACUCUAAUUAGAAUAAAUUAGGGUAAGGAAGAUUAGGAUUCAACCUUGAUUAGUUAUUCCUAACAUGAAUUAGAUUAAGAUAAACUAAACCAUUUUUGUCCCAUCUGUGAUUUGUCUUUCUCCAAGUCAACAAAACCAAGUUUGAAGAAGAAAAAUUCUGCUGGAAAAUUUGAGAACAAUCUAGAGAAACGGAGAAGAGAGGAAGAAGGAAGAAAGGAAGAAUAAUUCAAGGAUCUUACCAAAACUCAUGCCUAAACAAAUCCAAGGUGAUGGAGAUGAUCAGAUUGAGGAAGAGAGAACAAGCUAGAAGUCUUUUUCUUUUCUUUUUCUACUUUUGGGAGUUGCAAUUUUGAGAGGACGAUCUUGUAUAUAAGUUUUGAUUUUUGUUUAAGUGAAUGUUUGUAAUGUUGUACCUUUUUUUUCACUGUUUGGACUUGUAAAUGCCAAAGAUAAAUAAAUAAGAUGUAUGCUUGCUUUGUUUUCAUACAACUUAUGCACUUGAUCUGAA